AUAUAUAUCUUAGCAGCCAAGCUGUCUUAUGGCAUGCCCUGGCAUCUAGCCCAGCUACCAAGUUUCUCGACAUUUCACCAUUUAAAACCUUGGACUUUGGCUAUUAGCAGUGGCAGUCCUAUUCUGUCUCCUUCACCUGCAUCCUCAAAUGCAUUUACUACUUCGAAGCCGCGAAAAGAGAGCUUUUCCACGCUGUUCGGAUCAAAUUCUUCUUCGCCCCUUGGGUUGUCUGCGUGUUCUUAGUCCUCGGUGUACCACCUGCACUGGCCCCGGAUUUUCGGUGGCUUGGCAGUCUUGCACCUUUCCGGUGACAACUUUCUCAGUAGUCGCCAUCAAGUAUGCAGAACAAGUACCAUCAGUUCCAAGCAAGGGCCUUGCAGCCACUCUCUCUCUUGUCAACUGCAAUGGUGUCUGUAUUGUUCAUCUCCACUCUUCUUCACAUCUUUGUUUGACAAACGCUGUUUCCAAACGAUCUCGCCAUUGCCAUAACAAAUAGAAGACUUGGCAAGGAGAAGAAACCCUUCAACGAUCCUACGUUAUAAAGCGUUGGACAAAGCAGGCCCUAACAAAGAACAAUCUGGAAACCAAGGAUGCAGAUGGAGGUAAAGAAGAGACAUACUCCAAAUUGUGUAUAUUUCUUGGCUAAUCACAAUUACAUGUGUUGGUGGUGCCGCCAAAAAUGUUGUAAGAGGUGGCCUUAACAGCCAUACAACACCUGCCUUUCUACGUUUUAUUGGAUUUCAACUGAAACCUACAAAUCGGGGAAAUGAAAAGAAAAAAGAGCUGGUUUUACAUA